rnacentral:lncRNA from 1 species
GCGGGGCCUCGGACCCCGCCCUCCGCCUUCCCCGGGAUUCCGUGCUGUGCGGGCCGGGCGCUGGCGUUGGAUUGAGUUCUGUGAGUUGACUGGGCAUUCUGCAUCACAAGGUGUGGCUGGGCACUGGAACAGCCGAAGUCACCUGGGAGCUGACUGGGUUGGACUGUCCAGGAUGGUUCACUCCUACGACAGUGGAUGCUCAACUGGGGCUGUCAACUGGAGCCCCCAUAGUGCCUUUGUGAACAUGGGGGUCCCCAAGUUUUCAGCGGGUGAAGCCAGCAGGCAACAGCUCACACUGGCAUUUUGUCAGUCGGGCACCUUUAUCUUGGCAUUUGGGCUUCCAUCCAGGCUGCCUCAGCUCUUUUGAAUGAACAUGGCCUGCAAAUAGUUCAUCCACAGAGCUGGCUUGGCAGGCGAAGGCUUCUCAGCCCAAGCAGGGGGCUCGAUCUGCCUGCUCUCCUUUCUGUGGCCUCGGAUCCAGCCCUCACUUCUUACCUCCACCAGAUUUGGAGUUUUCAGAGCUAACUGAGGCUUCGGGAAAAGUUCUGUGUUUGGACAAAGCUUUGCAAUAAGGCAGAUCUGGGUUUGAAUCAUCAAUUUAUUUAAUCCUGAAAACCUCAAUUUUAUCUGUAAAAUAAAGAUGAUAAUCAUAACCUAGCUCACAGAUUUUUUUUGAGAUUAAAUAGCACACGGCACGCAAGGGGUUUAAACAGGAAAUGUUGAUUGUUUUUGUUUGGGUCAGGUUAUUUGGGUUCAAAUCUACUUGCGGCACCUUAACAAGAUUUCAUCUCUCUGAGACUCAGUUUCCUCAUCUAUAAAUUGAGGAUAAUGCCUCUUGUGGUUGUGUGACAAUGAAAUGAAUGUGCCAGAUAGAUAAAUUUUCAAUUGCUGUGCAAAGGGCUUACUAAUUUCAUCAAUGAGUCAUUCACAUUUACCCCUGGCCAUGAAAUUAAGUUGAAUUUCUCACAGAAUCCUACACAUGAAUAUGUCAUCUGUCUUACUCAUAAAAAAGAAAAUGUAGAAAUAUAAAAUUGGGAGGGCUAUAUGCAAACACUGUUGGAAAGUUUUUUUUAAAAAAAGGAAGAAGAAACAAAUAGCAUUAAAAUGAUUACUGCAUGAAUGACUGGGCUAUUGUCCUCAGGGAAAAUAUUUCCCAGUUUGCUUAGUGUAGCAAAAAGAGGGAAAAAGAGGUUUAAUAGUUAUUUCAAAGCUAUCUCCCCCAGGGAAAUUAAACCUGAGUUGUGGGGUAUUUUUCAUAAAAUCAGAGUAUAAAACUAACAAGCGAAAAAAGAAAAAACUACUGUGACAUGAACCUAAGUGGAUUUAAACAGGGUUCUUCUCAAUGGAAGGGCCCCUUGCACAUUGGCAUUCCUGCCCCUAAACUCGCUUUCACUCCCACUUUACCCCACUUGUACAUAGUGGGACCUAGGUAUAUCCAUAAAGAGUUACCUCACUUGGCCAUGUUCCGGUCUUCCUUGCAGGGACAUCCCAGUGUUAUCAGCUGACAUAAUGAUAGGCCCUCUCAGUCCACGUGACUCCCGCCAGCCUUCCUCAUCUCUUGUAAUAAUUGAUGUAGGUGUAAGGACCAUAAAGGCAGUGAGGCAUUUUUAAAAAUUGGAGCAGCAAGCUCUUGUCUAUAAGAUAUAGCUUCUGUUUUUAUUUUUGCAGAAAUUACACUGAGUACUUUUCUAGAAACCUGAUGUUUUUUAAGCCUCAUUUAUCUUCUGUCCUGUGGGCCAUUUCAAGGGCCAGAGGCAUUUCUUAUUAAACCUCUCCAGCAUGUCUUUCUGAAAUAGACCCCUUUUUUUUCUGUAGGGAACCCAUUCCACGGGAGCCUGACUCUGCCCUUCCCUAUUCACAUGACCCAGAACUGGCAAUGCACCUAUCCUAUGCUCUUGGUCGUAGUGGCUGAUUCCAAGAUAGGCACAUGAUCCAAGUCAAGCAAAUCAGUAUCUUCCUUGGAUCUCUUCUGAGGUUGCAAUCAGAAAAGGCUAUCUCUAUCCCCUAGGGUUGUUAGGUUGGUAAAAUUCAGUGAGGCCACCAGUAGCCACGCGAUGAAGGCCUGUCCAAGAGACAAAGGGCAAACUUGAGUAGCAUUGUCUGGACUCUGGAUCAAGCCAACCCUGAUGCCAGAACUGCAGGGCAUUAUGUGAGCUAAUAAAUGCCCUCCACCCUGCUAUUUUUGAAUGAUGUUUAAAUGAGGAUUAUGUUACUGUGAACUGAAUGCGUUUCUGAUUAAUAUGGUUAGAUUAGCCUAAUAUGUAUUAGGGUUUUAAAAAAAAAUCUUAAAGAAUUGAUAUGAUGAAAUAAAUAUGGUAUAAAUAU